ensembl:lncRNA
AGUGUGGGUUGCAAGGCAAAAGAGUGGUAAAGGCUAGGCAGUGGUGGUUAAGUGAUUUGCCUGGGGUCUAGUCUAGUCUAGUAGUAGUCUCUCGGUAACCGAGGAUGACGAUUGUCUUUGUGCGUUUUCAUCUAGGAUAGAUGAGCGUGCACAAAGACACUUGUACGUGAAGGAGAUUUAAGUGGAAAAGUCGAUGCACAGAGACAGUCCCACUCUCUCGGCGUUGGAAGCCUGGGUCCAGUGGCACGAAAAGUCGUUACACCUGGAGACUUCCGCCGCUGCAUUGGAUGGCCAUGUUGUCUUUUGUGCUCCAACAUGCCCUGAGCACUCCACAGUGCCUUGCUGCGUCGCCCUCUCAGCUGUUGAACCUUCUUACUGGUUUCUUCCGUCUGUUCUGCCAAAGCAGUCUUCACAUGCUGGGGGAGCAAAGCCCUGGUUCACCAGGGGUCUACGACCCAAUGGCUACUCUCACAGGGUUUGGCCAGCCUGUUGAAGCCGUUGCCCGGGGUGUGGCCGCUGCCGCAUGCUAGCAGCUACUGGGAGCCACAAGUGGGAGCUGGGUGUCAGCCUGGGGUCAUGCAGCUAAGAAGUAUCUGAACCGAGAACCUCCCAUCCCCAGGCCUGGUGCUCUAUCCACUGAGCUACCUAGCUGUCCUGCCUGUUAUUCAAAGAGGUGAGAGAGAUAGGAAGUAAACACCUCAUAAACAUAAAUGAAAUAAAAGCUUUAAAAAAAGAAGGUAAGGGGGCAGCUGGGUAGCUCAGUGGACUGAGAGCCAGGCCUAGGGACAGGAGGGCCUAGGUUCCAAUUUGGCCUCAGACACUUCCCAGUUGUGUGACCCUGGGCAAGUCACUUGACCCCCAUUGCCUAGCCCUUACCACUCUUCUGCCUUGGAGCCAAUACACAGUAUUGAUUCUAAGAUGGAAGGUGAGGGUUUAAAAAAGAAGGUAAGUACAGUCAAUACUGUUUGAGAACCUUCUGAGCCAGUCCAAGAUCAUGGUUCUAUCUGUUGUCCUCUAUGUGAGCAGGGCCUACCCCUCCAAAGCCUCUCCCCCAAAUUCUGCCCCUCUGACCUAUGGGAGUACUUGGAUUCCCCCUCCAGCCUUCAUAAAGGGCAUCAAUGACACAAGGGUGUCUCACUGGGGCUCUAUGGGAGUCUUCAAGUCCCUUUUCAGCAUCUUUCUGCUGUGGACAAGGACACAGACCUCAUCCUGGACUGACCUAGAAUCCUUGAUGGACUUCUUGACCUUUCUGCGUCCUGGAGUCCCCUGGCCACCUGCAAGGCUUAGACAUCCCUUUUCAGAGUCAUGUUUGGAAACGAAGAAAAUCAGUGCCACCGAGGAAGCCAAAGGUAACAACAGAAGAGCCUACCCUGGAGUUCUGGUUGAGAAGCAGGAAGCCACUUGGGCCAUCUUCAUUUCCUUUUACUGUGGUAAACCUCCCCAGAUGAGUAAUGGAAAACUAGCUGGUACCAGGGAUGGUGGGCUGGAGGCCCGGCCUGGACGGGGAUGGGGUGCACUUCCAGGGGCCUCUGAGGCUGGGCUGGGGAAAAGGGCCAAAUGA